GAAAGCCUGUAGCUUGGUAGCAGAGCAUCUCCCUUGCAUGCAGAAGGCCCCAGGUUCAAUUCCUGCUGUCUCCA